UACGUAGGGGGCAAGCGUUGUCCGGAUUUAUUGGGCGUAAAGCGCGUGUAGGCGGCUUUGCAAGUCGGGUGUGAAAGCCCUCGGCUCAACCGAGAAAGUGCGCCCGAAACUGCAGAGCUUGAGUGCCGGAGAGGAUGGCGGAAUUCCCCAAGUAGAGGUGAAAUUCGUAGAUAUGGGGAGGAACACCGGUGGCGAAGGCGGCCAUCUGGACGGUCACUGACGCUGAGACGCGAAAGCGUGGGGAGCAAACAGG
rnacentral:rRNA from 1 species